rnacentral:rRNA from 1 species
CUGAGACACGGCCCAGACUCCUACGGGAGGCAGCAGUGGGGAAUAUUGCACAAUGGGGGAAACCCUGAUGCAGCAACGCCGCGUGAGUGAUGAAGGCCUUCGGGUCGUAAAGCUCUGUCUUCGGGGACGAUAAUGACGGUACCCGAGGAGGAAGCCACGGCUAACUACGUGCCAGCAGCCGCGGUAAUACGUAGGUGGCGAGCGUUGUCCGGAUUUACUGGGCGUAAAGGGAGCGUAGGCGGAUGCUUAAGUGGGAUGUGAAAUACCCGGGCUCAACCCGGGUGCUGCAUUCCAAACUGGGUAUCUAGAGUGUGGGAGAGGAGAGUGGAAUUCCUAGUGUAGCGGUGAAAUGCGUAGAGAUUAGGAAGAACACCAGUGGCGAAGGCGACUCUCU